CUCCUCGGGUGCAGAGGAGGAUUUGUGACAGCCCAGAGAACAGAGGAAAUGGUGGUUUUGAAAAGGCAAAUGGCAGUGCCUGAACCAUAAGGCACAAGGAAUAUGCACCUCAUCAUAAGAGUGCACAUGACAGCAGCAAAGGAAGAAGCAGCUCAGAAAAGACAAGGCCACCAUUGUUGCUUGCAUGACAGUAGCACUUGUUAGAGCAAUAGAGCAACAUGAGUCACUGAGCAACUGAGCAAAUUCUCUCCAAAGUAAAAGUCCCUUUUGUUUCUGCAAUUUUA
rnacentral:antisense_RNA from 1 species